GAUGAACGCUGGCGGCGUGCUUAACACAUGCAAGUCGAACGAUGAAGAAGAGAAACGCGAACUUCGGUUCAAAUUUCACUUCGGAUUAGUGGCAGACGGGUGAGUAACGCGUGAGCAACCUACCUCUUACAAAGGGAUAGCCUCGGGAAACCGUGAUUAAUACCAUAUGACACAUUCAUAAGGCAUCUUAAGAAUGUUAAAGCUACGGCGGUAAGAGAUGGGCUCGCGUCCCAUUAGCUAGUUGGUGAGGUAACGGCCCACCAAGGCGACGAUGGGUAACCGGCCUGAGAGGGUGAACGGUCACAUUGGAACUGAGACACGGUCCAAACUCCUACGGGAGGCAGCAGUGGGGAAUAUUGCACAAUGGAGGGAACUCUGAUGCAGCGACGCCGCGUGAGCGAUGAAGGAAUUCGUUUCGUAAAGCUCUGUUCUAUGGGAAGAAAAGGACUGUACCAUAGGAGAAAGCCCCGGCUAAAUACGUG
rnacentral:rRNA from 1 species